UUUUUACCACGCAGUAUUUAAUACAGUAUUACAUGCAAAUGUGAAAUAUGUUUUCUUAAUUUGUGAGUUCAACAAUGCUUCCCCUUUUUUGUUGAACCAUAACACAUUUUUAACAGCAUAUGCACAAUUACUCUUUAAACAAACUAUAAGGCACACUAAGCUGUGUAGCUCUUUUUCAGAAGCGACAUGGCCUCAAAUGAUGGUUCAACGAAGUGGCUCUUAAGCGGCCAAACGCAUGUUUAUAAACGUGGAAGGAAAAAAUCGGAGGCCUCGGAGAAAAAUCCACGCGACCACGGAAAGAACAUGCAAACUCCUAACAUACAGGCGUCAGGGGACGCAAUGGAACCCACGAUCUCCUGUAUACCAGGCGAGGGGUGGUCUGAGGUAAAUGUUGACACGGAGGCUUCAUUGACACGUUGGUCAUGUUCGUGAUCUCUUUGUGUCGAGCGAAAGAAAUUACUCUCCCGGUGCUCAAGCGGAAGAAGGCUUUCACGAGAAAGACAGAGCAAAUUAUAUCAGCCGGACUACAUCAGAGAAGAGCAGCAGCAGCUGGCAAGGCUACAUAUUCUCGGCAGAGAGUGGGCUGUUUGGUUCACUUCCUGAAGAAGCUCUCAGGAACGUGGAGCGAAACGUCGCGACGCCGUGCCGAAAA